rnacentral:rRNA from 1 species
AGAGACAGCAGCCGCCGCGGUAAUACAGAGGGUGCGAGCGUUAAUCGGAUUUACUGGGCGUAAAGCGUGCGUAGGCGGCUAAUUGAGUCGGAUGUGAAAUCCCCGAGCUUAACUUGGGAAUUGCAUUCGAUACUGGUUAGCUAGAGUGUGGGAGAGGAUGGUAGAAUUCCAGGUGUAGCGGUGAAAUGCGUAGAGAUCUGGAGGAAUACCGAUGGCGAAGGCAGCCAUCUGGCCUAACACUGACGCUGAGGUACGAAAGCAUGGGGAGCAAACAGGAUUAGAUACCCGCGUAGUCCCUGUCUCUUAUAC